UAGGGAAUCUUCGGCAAUGGACGAAAGUCUGACCGAGCAACGCCGCGUGAGUGAAGAAGGUUUUCGGAUCGUAAAACUCUGUUGUUAGAGAAGAACAAGGACGUUAGUAACUGAACGUCCCCUGACGGUAUCUAACCAGAAAGCCACGGCUAACUACGUGCCAGCAGCCGCGGUAAUACGUAGGUGGCAAGCGUUGUCCGGAUUUAUUGGGCGUAAAGCGAGCGCAGGCGGUUUCUUAAGUCUGAUGUGAAAGCCCCCGGCUCAACCGGGGAGGGUCAUUGGAAACUGGGAGACUUGAGUGCAGAAGAGGAGAGUGGAAUUCCAUGUGUAGCGGUGAAAUGCGUAGAUAUAUGGAGGAACACCAGUAGCGAAGGCGGCUCUCUGGUCUGUAACUGACGCUGAGGCUCGAAAGCGUGGAGAGCAAACAGG
rnacentral:rRNA from 1 species